rnacentral:lncRNA from 1 species
GCCUUCCGGAUGGAUGAAAGCAGAAGCAGUGGCUGGAGCUAGAGCAGCUAUUUAGGACUAUGAGAUGGAAGAAAUGUGGUGACAAUAGCAGAACAAAAAUAUAGAAAUCUUGGGUACUUGAUGACCACGGAGCCGCCAUACAAACUCUGGACUAUAAUUUCCAGAGACUGUUUAUAGAAUGAAGAUACUGUCAUUACCUCUGCAAAGAAUGCAUCCUAGCACAGAUCAAAGAUCUUCCAAGUCCAGCCACACCAUUUUACAGUUCUGAACCUCGACUUAGGAAAGCAGUGGAUCUUUAUACAUUUGACACAUCCCUUCCCUCUAGGAUCUCUGUGGCUAUUGAAAAUGGACUGGAGAAGAUGAGUGGGAGUGAGAAGAGGAUAACAGAAUCAGAUAAAAACCUGUCAUGUUACUAAGAGCAGGAGAUGAGGCAGCCUGGACCAAGAUGGUGGCAGAGAGAAGAAAAUUGCUUGAGAGAAUUGAUUAAACUACUUGGUUAGCACAGAUAGAGCUGAAUCAAAAAUUAGGAUGGUAAGCUAAGUAAUUUUACACACAAAAAGGCAGAGUUGCAUUCAUAAUUAGUCUCUCCUUCAGACUGAAUAUUACAGACAAAAUAUAGCCAUUGGUGUUGCAAUCACUUCCUUUGGGUUUGUAUCCAAGGUUAAGAAUGUCAGCAUCCAAAGACCCAAAUUCUUAAUGUUUUUAGUUGAUAAAGUUUAUUCAAGGUAGACAGCCUGUGUUGAAUAACUUAGUCUUCCACAAAUUUCAAGAAAAAUCCAUUGUCCCUCUUCUCCGCCACAGACACACUUUAGUUGAACAUUAAGCAUAUUUAUUAAAGAAACAUUCUCCUUGUGCUUUUUCUCCCAAGAUGGAUGGUGUUCUUACUUAGAGUUAUAAGUGUCAGAAUAAAAAUGCCCAUGAGGUUGAAUUGUAUGAUGUUAUAGUAAAGUGAGAUAAACAUUCUCAGAAACAUGAUUGUGACUUAAAAAAAAAAAAAACCAACAAACCACUUUCUGUAGAGGAAUUAUGCUUUGGGGACAGAAACUUUCCUUUAUAAUUUUUACAGCUGCACGCAGAUAAAGUGUAUUAAAAAGGCACAACACAUCAAUUAUGAAAACAUGGCUACCCUUUAAGAGAACACAGACUUUUUCCAGAUCCAUCUUAAAUCUCAGGAAUUCUAGAUCGAGACAGGCAUGAAUGCUCCUGUUGCUGAAAUCACUCUGAUUUCCUUCUUGUUAAACACUUCACUCAGCAACAUUAUAGAUUAGCACCAAAAAAGUUGUUUGUAGGUGAAAAACUGUUCAGAAAAGGACACCUUAUUAGGCAGGCUGUCGAUUUACAAAUAAAAGCCGAUUCUGGCUCUCC